CCUACGGGUGGCAGCAGUGAGGAAUAUUGGUCAAUGGGCGGGAGCCUGAACCAGCCAAGUCGCGUGAGGGAAGACGGUCCUAUGGAAUGUAAACCUCUUUAGGCGGGGAGCAAUGCCGGGCACGCGUGCCCGGAGGGAGAGUACCCGCAGUAUAAGCAACGGCUAACUACGUGCCAGCAGCCGCGGUACUACGGAGGAUGCGAGCGUUAUGCGGAUUUAUGGGGGUUAAAGGGUGCGUAGGCGGAUUUUUAAGUCAGCGGUAAACUGUCCGGGCUCAACCCGGGCCGCACGUGGAUACUGGGGAUCUUGAGUGAGCGAGAAGUAUGCGGAAUGCGUGGUGUAGCGGUGAAAUGCAUAGAUAUCACGCAGAACUCCGAUUGCGAAGGCAGCAUACCGGCGCCCGACUGACGCUGAGGCACGAAAGCGUGGGGAUCGAACAGGAUUAGAUACCCCUGUAGUC
rnacentral:rRNA from 1 species